rnacentral:rRNA from 1 species
GCUUGUCUCAAAGAUUAAGCCAUGCAUGUCUAAGUAUAAACAACUUUAUACUGUAAAACUGCGAACGGCUCAUUAUAUCAGCAAUUAUUUAUUUGAUGGUCUCUUACUACAUGGAUAACUGUGGUAAUUCUAGAGCUAAUACAUGCGUAAAAUCCCGACUCUCGCGGGGAGGGAUGUAUUUAUUAGACUUAAGCCAAUAUUCCUUGUGUCUAUUGCGAUGAUUCAUAAUAACUGAUCGAAUCUCAAAUUUGAGAUAAAUCAUUCAAGUUUCUGCCCUAUCAGCUUUCGAUGGUAGUGUAUUGGACUACCAUGGCAGUAACGGGUAACGAAGAAUUAGGGUUCGAUUUCGGAGAGGGAGCAUGAGAAACGGCUACCACAUCUAAGGAAGGCAGCAGG